AGUGGGGAAUUUUGGACAAUGGGGGCAACCCUGAUCCAGCAAUGCCGCGUGUGUGAAGAAGGCCUUCGGGUUGUAAAGCACUUUUGUCCGGAAAGAAAUCCCUUGGGAUAAUACCUCGGGGGGAUGACGGUACCGGAAGAAUAAGGACCGGCUAACUACGUGCCAGCAGCCGCGGUAAUACGUAGGGUCCGAGCGUUAAUCGGAAUUACUGGGCGUAAAGCGUGCGCAGGCGGUUUUGUAAGACAGAUGUGAAAUCCCCGGGCUUAACCUGGGAAUUGCAUUUGUGACUGCAAGGCUAGAGUGUGUCAGAGGGGGGUAGAAUUCCACGUGUAGCAGUGAAAUGCGUAGAGAUGUGGAGGAAUACCGAUGGCGAAGGCAGCCCCCUGGGAUAACACUGACGCUCAUGCACGAAAGCGUGGGGAGCAAA
rnacentral:rRNA from 1 species